ARGAACUCAGCACGCCGCAAGGCCGGGUUUUAAACCACGUACGUGCUUAGGAUGCUGGCAAUAUGGCUUUAAUCGACCCGUCUUGAAACACGGACCAAGGAGUCUAACAUGCCUGCGAGUGUUUGGGUGGAAAACCCGAGCGCGUAAUGAAAGUGAAAAGUUGAGAUCCCUGUCGUGGGGAGCAUCGACGCCCGGACCAGACCUUUUGUGACGGUUCCGCGGUAGAGCAUGUAUGUUGGGACCCGAAAGAUGGUGAACUAUGCCUGAAUAGGGUGAAUCCAGAGGAAACUCUGGUGGAGGCUCGUAGCGAUUCUGACGUGCAAAUCGAUCGUCAA
rnacentral:rRNA from 1 species